CAAGACACAACAACAACAAUGAACAACAUCAUCAUCCUCAUCUGGACUCUCACACUGUUUGCUCAAGAGAGUAGAGGACAGUACACUGUAACUCAGAGUCCAUCAAUAACAGCAGCUCAACCAGGACAAGAAGUCAGAAUAAACUGUAAAAUCAGCAGUAAUGUGCAUGGUGGUAAUUGGUUACACUGGUAUUUACAGAAACCUGGAGAAGCUCCUAAACUCCUCAUAUAUCUUGCAUCAACCCGUUUCACUGGAACUCCAUCUAGAUUCAGUGGCAGUGGAUCUAACAGUGAUUUCACUCUGACCAUCAGUGGAGUCCAGACUGAAGAUACAGGACAUUAUUACUGUCAGAGUUUUCACUACCCAAACAGUAAAGAUGUGUUCACACAGUGAUAAAGAGUCGUACAAAAACCUCCGUCAGUCAGAGUCACAGUGACUGCACUGAUACAGCUGAGAGUUACUGCAGCUGCUGAUCAGAGGAUAUGAUUAAAUAUGUUUACUGUAAUUAUUAUUUACUUACUUUUGGUUCUUUGGAGAUUCAGAAGGUUCUUCAUUUUUUAUUACAGGUUCUUCAAAUCAGUGCAUUGGUUCAGUGGAGACUGGAAAUAUGGACCAUGGUGUGGUACACUUGAGCAGUACAGUAUGUAAUAAACAGCAGUUUCAUCAUGAUACGAUAUGACA